rnacentral:rRNA from 1 species
UGCCAGCAGCCGCGGUAAUACAGAGGGUGCGAGCGUUAAUCGGAAUUACUGGGCGUAAAGGGCGCGUAGGUGGUUUGUUUAGUUAGCUGUGAAAUACCCGGGCUUAACCUGGGGGAGUCAGUUAAAACGGGCAGACUAGAGGUAGAGAGAGGGUAGGAGAAUUUCCGGUGUAGCGGUGAAAUGCGUAGAUAUCGGAAGGAAUACCAGUGGCGAAGGCGCCUACCUGGCUCAUACCUGACACUGAGGCGCGAAAGCGUGGGGAGCGAACAGGAUUAGAUA